rnacentral:rRNA from 1 species
AUGAACGCUAGCUACAGGCUUAACACAUGCAAGUCGAGGGGCAGCAUGACCUAGCAAUAGGUUGAUGGCGACCGGCGCACGGGUGAGUAACACGUAUCCAACCUACCGGUUAUUCCGGGAUAGCCUUUCGAAAGAAAGAUUAAUACCGGAUAGUAUAACGAGAAGGCAUCUUUUUGUUAUUAAAGAAUUUCGAUAACCGAUGGGGAUGCGUUCCAUUAGUUUGUUGGCGGGGUAACGGCCCACCAAGACAUCGAUGGAUAGGGGUUCUGAGAGGAAGGUCCCCCACAUUGGAACUGAGACACGGUCCAAACUCCUACGGGAGGCAGCAGUGAGGAAUAUUGGUCAAUGGACGAGAGUCUGAACCAGCCAAGUAGCGUGAAGGAUGACUGCCCUAUGGGUUGUAAACUUCUUUUAUAUGGGAAUAAAGUGAGCCACGUGUGGCUUUUUGUAUGUACCAUACGAAUAAGGAUCGACUAACUCCGUGCCAGCAGCCGCGGUAAUACGGAGGAUCCGAGCGUUAUCCGGAUUUAUUGUGUUUAAAGGGAGCGUAGGCGGACUAUUAAGUCAGCUGUGAAAGUUUGCGGCUCAACCGUAAAAUUGCAGUUGAUACUGGUCGUCUUGAGUGCAGUAGAGGUAGGCGGAAUUCGUGGUGUAGCGGUGAAAUGCUUAGAUAUCACGAAGAACUCCGAUUGCGAAGGCAGCUUACUGGACUGUAACUGACGCUGAUGCUCGAAAGUGUGGGUAUCAAACAGGAUUAGAUACCCUGGUAGUCCACACAGUAAACGAUGAAUACUCGCUGUUUGCGAUAUACAGCAAGCGGCCAAGCGAAAGCAUUAAGUAUUCCACCUGGGGAGUACGCCGGCAACGGUGAAACUCAAAGGAAUUGACGGGGGCCCGCACAAGCGGUGGAGCAUGUGGUUUAAUUCGAAGCAACGCGAAGAACCUUACCAGGUCUUGACAUCGAUCUAAAGGCUCCAGAGAUGGAGAGAUAGCUAUAGAGAAGACAGGUGGUGCAUGGUUGUCGUCAGCUCGUGCCGUGAGGUGUCGGCUUAAGUGCCAUAACGAGCGCAACCCUUAUCUUUAGUUACUAACAGGUCAUGCUGAGGACUCUAGAGAGACUGCCGUCGUAAGAUGUGAGGAAGGUGGGGAUGACGUCAAAUCAGCACGGCCCUUACGUCCGGGGCUACACACGUGUUACAAUGGGGGGUACAGAAGGCAGCUACACAGCGAUGUGAUGCUAAUCCCAAAAGCCUCUCUCAGUUCGGAUUGGAGUCUGCAACCCGACUCCAUGAAGCUGGAUUCGCUAGUAAUCGCGCAUCAGCCACGGCGCGGUGAAUACGUUCCCGGGCCUUGUACACACCGCCCGUCAAGCCAUGAAAGCCGGGGGUACCUGAAGUCCGUAACCGCAAGGAGCGGCCUAGGGUAAAACUGGUAAUUGGGGCU